UUUAAAGUGUAAACCACAUGAAAAAACAAAGGGCUUAGGCAAAUCAGAUAGCUUCAACAACAACAAACACACAUCCACUAAUCUGCUUAGGGAAAUUAAUGAACAGGAGAAGAGAACACCCCAACAUCCGCAUCUCUCGCUCCUGCAAAUGGAUGGAGGGAGGGAUGGAAGGAUAACGAUCCCGCGACCGCCGGGAGGAGUUAGAGCAGUGGAUCAGGCGGAAGACGGAGAAGGACCAUCUUAACCCAUUUGAUCUUCACAAGCACCCCACUAAACGGCCCAAUAUGCCCAACAGACGGAAGCAGGCUGGCUGCCAGUAGCCCGGUUUAGAAUACGGGUCAGCAUCAGAGUGACCCAUGUGGAGGAGCAGUCACCCCAAAGAGCGCUCCAGAAGGUUCCCAAAGCCACAUAAAACUGGGCCAAGCUCCUGACUAAUGAUACAGCCUCCCUCCAUCAGGGAGCAUUUCUUGAUCACAAGCAAAUACUCACAAAAUUGGGAAAAAUGUACAAUAUAAAAGCCGAUAAGUAUUUCCAAGUUAUGGCCAAUAUAUGGUUGAUAUUAAAAUUUGAUAUCUAUUUUAUCUAAGCAGAUUCAAAACACUAGAAACCCUCAAAUUUGCAUACGUCCCUCAAACUUGCAUAUGGACGUAUAUUUUGAGGUAAUUACUCCUCAUAGUCACACAGCCUGUUUUAUUAAUUAAGGAGCAAUAAAUGCUAUUAAAAUGUGA